GCCGGGUGUGGUGGUGCAUGCCUGUAGUCCCAGCUACUUGGAGGCUGAGGUAGGAGAAUCGCUUGAGUCCAGGAGGUCGAGGCUGCAGUGAACCAUGAUCGUGCCACUGCUCUCCAGCCUGGGUGACGGAGUGAGAUCCCAUCUCCA
rfam:Gorilla gorilla gorilla genomic chromosome, chr9, whole genome shotgun sequence